rnacentral:misc_RNA from 1 species
GAUGAAGAACGCAGCGAACGUGCGAAACGUAAUGUGAAUUGCAGAAUUCAGUGAAUCAUCGAAUCUUUGAACGCAUCUUGCGCUCCUUGGUAUUCCGAGGAGCAUGCCUGUUUGAGUGUCGUGAAUACUCUCAACUUCAACCCUUUUUUCGGAAAGGGAGGAAGGUUGGACUUGGGUGUUUGUUGAAGUGCGAGCUUCGACUCAUCCUAAAUGCAUUAGCGAUCUGCCUCGAUCACACACAAUGUGAUAAUUAAAACUAAGCAUUGUUUAAUGAUCAAGUCGAGACUGCUUCUAACUGUCGCAAGACAAUAACGUGCAUACAUUUGUGCAUGUCAUUUGACCUCAAAUCAGGUAGGACUACCCGCUGAACUUAAGCAUAUCAAUAAGCGGAGGA